UGAGUACGAGCUGCUACGGCAGCGAAGUGGGUGACGUCAAGCUUCCAAGAAAAGCCCUAUACCCGUUAAGGCAUGACGGCCUGUACCCGAAACCGACACAGGUGGGGUGGUAGAGAAUACCGAGGGGCGCGAGGUAACUCUCUCUAAGGAACUCGGCAAAAUGGCCCCGUAACUCCGGGAGAAGGGGUGCCACCGCAAGGUGGUCGCAGUGAAGAGGCCCAGGCGACUGUUUACCAAAAACACAGGUCUCCGCUAAGUCGCAAGACGAUGUAUGGGGGCUGACGCCUGCCCAGUGCCGGAAGGUUAAGGAAGCUGGUCAGCGUAAGCGAAGCUGGCGACUGAAGCCCCGGUGAACGGCGGCCGUAACUAUAACGGUCCUAAGGUAGCGAAAUUCCUUGUCGGGUAAGUUCCGACCCGCACGAAAGGCGUAACGAUCUGGGCGCUGUCUCGGAGAGAGGCUCGGCGAAAUAGAAUUGUCUGUGAAGAUGCGGACUACGUGCACCCGGACAGAAAGACCCUAUGAAGCUUUACUGUAGCUUGGUAUUGUGCCCGGGCUCUGAAUGCGCAGGAUAGGUGGGAGGCUUUGAUCCAUUGCUUGUGGGUGAUGGUGAGCCAACGGUGAGAUACCACUCUUUCAGAGCUAGGGUUCUAACGGUCACCCGUCAUCCGGGGACCGGACAGUAUCAGGUGGGCAGUUUGACUGGGGCGGUCGCCUCCUAAAAGGUAACGGAGGCGCGCAAAGGUUCCCUCAGGCUGGUUGGAAAUCAGCCGACGAGUGUAAAGGCAGAAGGGAGCUUGACUGUGAGACCUACAAGUCGAACAGGGACGAAAGUCGGCCUUAGUGAUCCGACGGUCCUGAGUGGAAGGGCCGUCGCUCAACGGAUAAAAGUUACUCUAAGGAUAACAGGCUGAUCUCCCCCAAGAGUUCACAUCGACGGGGAGGUUUGGCACCUCGAUGUCGGCUCAUCGCAACCUGGGGCUGAAGUCGGUCCCAAGGGUUGGGCUGUUCGCCCAUUAAAGCGGUACGCGAGCCGGGUUCAGAACGUCGUGAGACAGUUCGGUCCAUAUCCGGUGCAUGCGCAGGAAUAUUGAGAGGAUUUCUCCCUAGUACGAGAGGACCGGGAGGAACGCACCUCUGGUGUGCCAGUUAUCGUGCCAACGGUAAACGCUGGGUAGCCAUGUGCGGAGUGGAUAACCGCUGAAAGCAUCUAAGUGGGAAGCCCACCUCAAGAUGAGUAUUCCCAUGGCGUUAGCCAGUAAGGUCACGGGCAGAACACCCGUUGAUAGGCUCUACGUGGAAGCCGGGUAACCGGUGAAGCGGAGGAGUACUAAUAGACC
rnacentral:rRNA from 1 species